UACGGGGGGGGCAAGCGUUGUUCGGAAUUACUGGGCGUAAAGGGCGCGUAGGCGGCGCAACAAGUCACUUGUGAAAUCUCCGGGCUUAACCCGGAGCGGCCAAGUGAUACUGUCGUGCUAGAGUGCGGAAGGGGCUACUGGAAUUCUCGAUGUAGCGGUGAAAUGCGUAGAUAUCGAGAGGAACACCUGCGGCGAAGGCGGGUAGCUGGGCCGACACUGACGCUGAGGCGCGAAAGCCAGGGGAGCGAACGGG
rnacentral:rRNA from 1 species